UACGAAGGGGGCUAGCGUUGCUCGGAAUUACUGGGCGUAAAGGGAGCGUAGGCGGACAGUUUAGUCAGAGGUGAAAGCCCAGGGCUCAACCUUGGAAUUGCCUUUGAUACUGACUGUCUUGAGUUUGGGAGAGGUGUGUGGAACUCCGAGUGUAGAGGUGAAAUUCGUAGAUAUUCGGAAGAACACCAGUGGCGAAGGCGACACACUGGCCCAAUACUGACGCUGAGGCUCGAAAGCGUGGGGAGCAAACAGG
rnacentral:rRNA from 1 species